rnacentral:rRNA from 1 species
UACGGAGGGUGCAAGCGUUGUUCGGAAUUAUUGGGCGUAAAGCGCGUGUAGGCGGAUGAAUAAGUCAGGUGUGAAAUCCCUUGACUCAAUCAAGGAACUGCACUUGAAACUAUUCGUCUCGAGUACGAUAGGGGAGGGCGGAAUUCCCAGUGUAGAGGUGAAAUUCAUAGAUAUUGGGAGGAACACCAGUGGCGAAGGCGACCCUCUGGAUCGAUACUGACGCUGAGACGCGAAAGCGUGGGUAGCAAACAGG